UCUUGGCAGAAUGGUAUGAGGAGCCCCGAACUUCAGAGACAAAUGAGUGCAGUGCCUUGGCAGCACCUGGGAGAGAAAAGCUGACCUGGAAAAUCACAAGUACCUGAUGAUGAAAUUCUACAAAGUUGGAAACUCUCCUUAAUGAGAUGAGAGGCACCUUGCCGCAGGGGUGGCAGUUUAUAACUGCCAGCCUGGGCAAGCUGCACGUUCGCUGUGUGUAUCUCUGGGAUCUAAUUCUGAGCACAGCCUCCUUUUGGAUUCUAAACGUUGUGCAGUAU